rnacentral:rRNA from 1 species
AUUGAACGCUGGCGGAAUGCUUGACACAUGCAAGUCGAACGGCAGCACGGACUUCGGUCUGGUGGCGAGUGGCGAACGGGUGAGUAAUGUAUCGGAACGUGCCCAGUCGUGGGGGAUAACGUAGUGAAAAUUACGCUAAUACCGCAUACGAUCUAUGGAUGAAAGCGGGGGAUCGCAAGACCUCGCGCGAUUGGAGCGGCCGAUAUCAGAUUAGGUAGUUGGUGGGGUAAAGGCCCACCAAGCCAACGAGCGGUAGCUGGUCUGAGAGGACGACGAGCCAGACGGGAACUGAGACACGGUCCAGACUCCUACGGGAGGCAGCAGUGGGGAAUUUUGGACACUGGGCGAAGCCUGAUCCAGCCAGUCCGCGUGCAGGAUGAAGGCCCUCGGGUUGUAAACUGCUUUUGUACAGAACGAAAAGGUUUCUACUAAUACUAGGAGCUCAUGACGGUACUGUAAGAAUAAGCACCGGCUAACUACGUGCCAGCCGCCGCCGUAA